rnacentral:tRNA from 1 species
GCCGUCUUAGCUCAGUUGGCAGAGCGGCGGUAUCGUAAACCGCAGGUCCCCGGUUCGAUCCCGGGAGACGGCUCCA